UACAGAGGUCCCAAGCGUUGUUCGGAUUCACUGGGCGUAAAGGGUGCGUAGGCGGUCGGGUAAGUCUGAUGUGAAAUCUCACAGCUUAACUGUGAAACUGCAUUGGAUACUAACCGGCUCGAGGAAUGGAGGGGAGACUGGAAUACUUGGUGUAGCAGUGAAAUGCGUAGAUAUCAAGUGGAACACCAGUGGCGAAGGCGGUUCUCUGGGCAUGUCCUGACGCUGAGGAGCGAAAGUGUGGGGAGCGAACAGG
rnacentral:rRNA from 1 species